rnacentral:rRNA from 1 species
UACAGAGGUCCCAAGCGUUGUUCGGAUUCACUGGGCGUAAAGGGUGCGUAGGUGGUGAGGUAAGUCGGAUGUGAAAGCUCGGAGCUCAACUCCGAAAUGGCAUUGGAAACUACCUUGCUCGAGGGUUGGAGGGGGGACUGGAAUGCUUGGUGUAGCAGUGAAAUGCGUAGAUAUUCGGAAGAACACCAGUGGCGAAGGCGACUCACUGGACACGUAUUGACGCUGAGGUGCGAAAGCGUGGGGAGCAAACAGG